GUGAGGAAUAUUGCGCAAUGGGCGAAAGCCUGACGCAGCGACGCCGCGUGGAGGAUGAAGGUCUUCGGAUUGUAAACUUCUGUUAAGUGGGAAGAAAGGGCUGCUUUUAAUAGAAGCAGUUAAUGACGGUACCAUUAAAGAAAGCACCGGCUAAACUCGUGCCAGCAGCCGCGGUAAUACGAGUGGUGCAAGCGUUAUUCGGAAUAAUUGGGCGUACAGGGUGUGUAGGCGGUAUGUUAAGUCUGUUGUUAAAGACUCCGGCCUAACCGGAGACAGGCAGCGGAAACUGGCGUACUAGAGGGUGGAAGAGAGAAGGGGAAUUCUCGGUGUAGCGGUAAAAUGCGUAGAUAUCGAGAGGAACACCGAUGGCGAAGGCAGCUUCUUGGUCCAUACCUGACGCUGAAACACGAAAGCGUGGGAGCAAACAGGAUUAGAAACCCCAGUAGUCC
rnacentral:rRNA from 1 species